AGAACCUGAAUUACAAGACCAAAUUACCUGAAAUGUUCACUGCAUAAAGGUGACAUAUUUACACCUGAGUGUAUCACUGAACAUUCCACCUACACACCGACGGUGCUGCGCGAACAAUAGGCUGGCCGGUCGGCUCUGACCUUCAAAGACCAGGGGACAGGUCAUCCCAUUGUCUAGCAGCACUAAAAUUAAUACUACGUCAUGGAGCUGUGAUAUCUCUUUCACGAGCUGUAAUAAAUCUAAUGAUUAAAAGAUAGCAAGAACAAAGAGAAACAACUGGCGAUCCUGUCAAUGGAAAUUAGUGUACUUUAAAUGAAAUAUUCAGUGGUC